rnacentral:rRNA from 1 species
GACGAACGCUGGCGGCGUGCUUAACACAUGCAAGUCGAACGGAAAGGCCCUGCUUUUGUGGGGUGCUCGAGUGGCGAACGGGUGAGUAACACGUGAGUAACCUGCCCUUGACUUUGGGAUAACUUCAGGUAACUGGGGCUAAUACCGUAUAGGAGCUCCUGCUGCAUGGUGGGGGUUGGUAAGUUUCGGCGGGUGGGGAUGGACUCGCGGCUUAUCAGCUUGUUGGUGGGGUAGUUGCUUACCAAGGCCUUGACGGGUAGCCGGCCUGAGAGGGUGACCGGCCACAUUGGGACUGAGAGACGGCCCAGACUGCAACGGGAGGCAGCAGUGGGGAAUAUUGCACAAUGGGCGGAAGCCUGAUGCAGCAACGCCGCGUGCGGGAUGACGGCCUUCGGGUUGUAAACCGAUUUCGCCUGUGACGAGGCGUGAGUGACGGUAAUGGGUAAAGAAGCACCGGCUAACUACGUG